UAGUGAGAGUUUAACUGUCCUGAGAGCAUCCGAGAAAGGAAACUAUUCACAUAACAGCAAUGGGACGUCCCCUAUGGCUUUUAUCAAAUCACUCUGCUAGGUAGUCGACUUUAAAAUGACUCCCAUUUUUUUUCUGUGGGGGCUCUGUGCACCCCUUCUCCCUUUCUGUCUUCUCUUCCCAGUCUUCCCUCAUCUGCAGAGCACAUUCCAUGACCAACCCAUCACUACACUGAAAAUAUACAUUCGCACCUAACUGGCACAGCUGGCAAAGUAGGCAGUCCCAGCUUGGUAGCAGUCAUUUAUCCUGUCAUGCCUGCCAGACUUGCCUUGAGGCAGGUUUGAAUUAGAUCUGACAGCUGGUCUUGUUCACUACAUAGUUUCUCUUUUCCUAUCCCAUCAAUCAACUUCAUUGCUUAAGCUACCCUCCUAACACAUCUAUUUCUGAACCCUCAAUCCUCCUUUCUGGCCUACUGUGCUCACAGCAAUCCAGAGAAGAGCCACUGAGUUGUUUUCCCAAAUAUCUGUUUUGUCUUCUCUCCACAUUUUGCCAACACUGCUCAUCUCUUCUUCAUAACAGCAAAUACACAACACUUCUUCACCAUUAAGUCCCAAAGGUCCUUCAUGGUCUUUUACAAAUUUUCUUUUCUCACUGGUCAUUUCUGAUCAGUGGAUCAGUCUUCUACCAUGCUAGUCUUCUUUCUCCUCUCUUGUUUUAACAUUUGGAAAUUGACCGUUAUUAACACCUGCGAAAGCCGGAUCAUAGUCAAAAACGACCCAAGGGAAUUCACCUAUUCCCUCCUUCAAGCAAUAUUACAAUAGUAGCACUUUUUCUCUGCCUUAUUAUUUUUAUCUCCCUUUUAUUUUUAAUUAUUUGAAUUAACUUAAAAAUAAAAAUUAUUUGCACAGAAGUAUCCCUCCCAACUUCAAAAUCCAUUAUGCAUAUCAGGAGACCUGAAGAAAAUUUUCUUUAGACGACUGAGUUAAAACGCUAACGUACUAAUUGGUUUACCCAGCUCCUUCCUACUGUGUCCCUACAAAUCUGCCUCCGUUGUCUCUUGUGUCUUAAAUUUUAUUUAGAACAUUUUGAGGAAGAAUUCAUCAUGGUGUGCCACAUGAGCCUCACAUCUUAUUCAGUGAGGCUGCUCUCCAGCAUCUCAUUCUCCAGUCACUAUGGAAAAAGACAUACCCCAGCCCAUGGAAAAAACUGAAUGAUGCAAUGGACUGUUAAAGACUACUCUGAGAGCAGUGGAUGCAGGGACACUUUAAGAGCACUGAGAGACACAUUUAGCAAAUCAAGUGAAUCAAGUGAAUUUAGUGAAUCAAGCCAAUGUGCAGAGGUGAAGGCCAUCUAGAUGGCCUUCCAUUGUUGCUGCCUGACACAUCAUGUAGAUGCUCAUGUAUCUGAAUUGGGCCACUGAAGAACAUCAAAAUAGGCUACAAAAGAGGCUACUGAAAUUGAAGUGGUUCAGGAAGAUCUGGACUGGCAACAUAAGGCUGAAUUACUUAUAGCUUGAUAGGUCCAUCAUAUGUCAGGCCACCUAGGAAAAGAUGCAACAUAUAAAUGGGCUCAAACAUGUAAAUGUUUGAGGGGAAGUCUUGACCAUGGACACUAUUGCACAGUUUAUCCACAAAUGCAAAAUGUGCUUCAAUCAAGGAAGCCAAGUGGAUAAAGCCCCUCUGGUAUGUAGAACUGUGGCUGGAAUAUAAAUACGGGGUGAGCUGAUAGAUAUCACACUUCCACAGAUCUGAUACAGUAAGCAACACAUGCUUACAAUGGUGGAAGUAACCACCAGGUGGCUAAAGCACAUCCUACGCCCCAUGCCACUGUCCGAAACACUAUCCCGGGCCUUCAGAAGCAAGACUUACAGCUGAGGGCACCGAAGAAAGAGCUGACUUUGACAGCUGGACUAAUUUAUGAAAAAAAGUCUCAUGACACCUGGGCCAAAGAGCAUGGCAUUGACUGGGUAUAUCACAUCUCCUAUGUCAUGGUUUUAUGAUUUUUUGUUAUUGGUAUUCCACAUAACAUCAUGUAGUGCACUGGGAGUUAAAGAGUUAAUGCUCCAGUUCCGGGUACCUACCCCAGAAGAGAACUACAUCUCCCAGAGGACUGUUUGCUCAGAGGGAAAGAUGAAAACUGUUCGUACGUCACUUGACCUCCCCUUUUGAUUCUGGCUCGUCUCUGCUCCCAGGCACAUUGUCUCAGCUUGCUUAGACUAAGGCCUUUGACUUUUCGGACACUCUCAUUUUAUUUGAUUUAUUAGCUUCAACUGUAUUAUACCGUAUUAUAGUGUGUUAUCUUGCAUUCUGAUAUCUCAUUUAGUAAAUUAGUUUGUUUCUCCUCAGAUCAUUGCCGCUGCUUUUUGUUUUAGGCCCAUCUCUCUACCCUUUUACCCUUUUCCCUUUCCUGGGGCAUGGGUCCCCCUGCCCCGCUAGUCAUGGAGCCGGGCCAAACUAGCCUGUAAACUGUUGAUAGCCUAUCACACCAGCUCAUGGAAAAAAUUGAAUGAUACCAUGGACUGUUAAACACUACUCUGAGAGCAAUAGGUGCUGGGACAGCACCCACUGACAGCACCCAUGGAAGCUGAGGGUGUUAAGAUACACAUUUAGCAAAGGCCACUUUGUUAGUUAACACUAGAGGAUUUGCCAAUUGAGCUGACACUGCCUAAUCAAAACCCCUAUGUGCUGUAGAAACAGGCAAAGUUCCCAUAGGGCACAUAAUAAAGAACAUGCUGGGGAAAAUAGGUCGAGUUAGUUACUCCUGGUUUGGGCAAGCCUAUCUGUGGGACUACUUUUGCUCAAGGACUGGGGUGGAUGUUGUGGGUAAUAUGGCAGGAUGGGGAAUUCUGAUGUGUACUUCAGGGGGAUUUGAUUCUGGGGGAGAACAACCAGUGAUAUGAAUUGUAUGUUCCUUGCUUCAAAAGUAAUGCCUCCUCUUUGUUUCCAUGGAAACUACAACAGAUACGAAGAGCCCAAUAUGUGAUAGAGCUACAAAACGCAACCUGCCUCUUUUCCCAGAACUAAGAUCCAAGGCUAAAGCCCACGUCAAGGCAAGCAAAAAAGCAUUUGUUCAUGCUGUGGUCCAGCCAAAGCACAUCGCUAAAAGUGGCUGCAGUAAAGAUGAUACUCAACUGCGCUCCCGCAAAAAAAUUUAUUGAGUAUGUAGAUGCAUGAGUCAUCACUUGUCUGGAA
ensembl:lncRNA